rnacentral:lncRNA from 1 species
CUCACUCUCCCUUCCAAUAAUAACAAUGUCCUUUCACGUCCUGGAGAAGGCUGCCGGAAUACAAAAGAUCAGGCUCUGUGCUUGGCGUCAGAAGACCUGGGCUCACCACUUACUACAGUCAAUCCCACAAACAAGAGGUCUCCGCCGGCAACCUCCAUCUCCUCAAAGGGAUGACACCCCACUCUAAGUCAGAACACCACUCCGCCACCUCUCCGCUACGCUGGAGAACUCUGGUAAGAAGUGGUUUGUUGUGAAGGGUUCAUUGCUGUUGGGUAAACAAGGGAGGAUUCUUCAAGGGACUUCCAGUAUCCAUGAAACAAUAGAUCAAAGGGGGGCCCAAAAAUGUCAAGGGAGACCAAAGAAAGAAGAAAGGGUUGGUUUUGUCCCACCUGGGAAACACCUGCCCUUGGAGUAGGG